CCAAAAUUUCUGCCACAAUGCAACCCAAAAUUUCUGCAAUCUGCAUGGAGUUGCAAGUUGAGACCGGUACUGCCAAAUUCUCAUUCUGAAAGCUUCCAGUUUUACCAAGUAGAGCUUACUGACGUAGGUUGAAUCAGAGCAAGAGAUUACAGAUGUGACAUCAACCUUCUUUCAGAAAAGGUAACAAUGUCACACCAAAAGAAUCUGAAAGAACCGAUUUUUCCUGUAGCUUAACUGCAUGCCAUGCCCUACUAAUUGCAGAGUAACAUUUGGGAUUAGCUGUCAAGAGGAGGAAGA
rnacentral:lncRNA from 1 species